rnacentral:rRNA from 1 species
CAGCAGCCGCGGUAAUACGUAGGUGGCAAGCGUUGUCCGGAAUUAUUGGGCGUAAAGGGCUCGCAGGCGGUCUCUUAAGUCUGAUGUGAAAGCCCCCGGCUCAACCGGGGAGGGUCAUUGGAAACUGGGAAACUUGAGUGCAGAAGAGGAGAGUGGAAUUCCACGUGUAGCGGUGAAAUGCGUAGAGAUGUGGAGGAACACCAGUGGCGAAGGCGACUCUCUGGUCUGUAACUGACGCUGAGGAGCGAAAGCGUGGGGAGCGAACAGGAUUAGAUACCCCCGUAGUCCCUGUCUCUUAUAC